rnacentral:rRNA from 1 species
AUUGAACGCUAGCGGCAUGCUUAACACAUGCAAGUCGAACGGUAACAGGCCUAGCUUGCUAGGUGCUGACGAGUGGCGGACGGGUGAGUAACGCGUAGGAAUCUACCUAGUAGUGGGGGAUAACCUGGGGAAACCCAGGCUAAUACCGCAUGAGCCCUAAGGGGGAAAGCAGGGGACCGUAAGGCCUUGUGCUAUUAGAUGAGCCUGCGUCAGAUUAGCUUGUUGGUGGGGUAAAGGCCUACCAAGGCGAUGAUCUGUAGCUGGUCUGAGAGGACGACCAGCCACACUGGGACUGAGACACGGCCCAGACUCCUACGGGAGGCAGCAGUGGGGAAUAUUGGACAAUGGGCGCAAGCCUGAUCCAGCAAUGCCGCGUGUGUGAAGAAGGCCUGCGGGUUGUAAAGCACUUUCAGUGGGGAGGAAGGCCUUGAUAUUAAUACUAUUGAGGAUUGACGUACCC